rnacentral:misc_RNA from 1 species
GAUGAAGAACGCAGCGAAAUGCGAUAAGUAGUGUGAAUUGCAGAAUUCAGUGAAUCAUCGAAUGUUUGAACGCACAUUGCGCCCCUUGGUAUUCCAUGGGGCAUGCCUGUUCGAGCGUCAUUUGUACCUUCAAGCUUUGCUUGGUGUUGGGUGUUUGUCUCGCCUUUGCGUGUAGACUCGCCUUAAAAUAAUUGGCAGCCGGCGUAUUGAUUUCGGAGCGCAGUACAUCUCGCGCUUUGCACUCAUAACGACAGCGUCCAAAAGUACAUUUUACACUCUUGACCUCGGAUCAGGUAGGGAUACCCGCUGAACUUAAGCAUAUCAAUAAGCGGAGGA